rnacentral:rRNA from 1 species
AACGAACGCUGGCGGCAUGCCUAACACAUGCAAGUCGAACGAAGGCUUCGGCCUUAGUGGCGCACGGGUGCGUAACGCGUGGGAAUCUGCCCUUUGGUUCGGAAUAACAGCUGGAAACGGCUGCUAAUACCGGAUGAUGACGAAAGUCCAAAGAUUUAUCGCCAGAGGAUGAGCCCGCGUUGGAUUAGGUAGUUGGUGGGGUAAAGGCCUACCAAGCCGACGAUCCAUAGCUGGUCUGAGAGGAUGAUCAGCCACACUGGGACUGAGACACGGCCCAGACUCCUACGGGAGGCAGCAGUGGGGACUAUUGGACAAUGGGCGCAAGCCUGAUCCAGCAAUGCCGCGUGAGUGAUGAAGGCCCUAGGGUUGUAAAGCUCUUUUACCCGGGAAGAUAAUGACUGUACCGGGAGAAUAAGCCCCGGCUAACUCCGUG